UCUCUCUCUCCUCUCUCUCUGGUGACCCUCUCAGCCGCAGGCCCGCCGUCCUCUCUCGCGCCGCCGUCGCCGAGCCCCCCCUCGCCACCGCCGCCGCCGCCGCCGCCUUCUUCGUGAGCAGCACUCCGCCACUCGCAGCGCCGGGAGCCGUCUUCACCUCUCCCUCUCUCAUCUCUCACUCUUGACUCUCUCUCUCUCUCUCUCUCUCUAAGCCGCCGCUCUCUCUCUCUCUCCCUCUCUCUGUGUUAUCGCCGCCGCGUCUAACCUCGCCGUCACCGUAGCACUCCGCCGCUCGCCGUUCUCCCCUCCAGGUCGGAAUAUACGAUAUAUAGGAGGUGCCUUAUGUUCAAUCUUAGCCUAAUCGAGCACACGUUGCGGUUACCUCCUCAUCUGCUCAGCCUAUCCCUGGAUAAAGCUGUUAAGCAUGAUCUUGAGAAACUUUUCUUAGACAAGGUUAUUGCAAAUCUGGGCCUUUGCGUUUCUGUCUAUGACAUCAGAAAGAUUGAUGGUGGCUUUAUCUUUCCAGGAGAUGGGGCACCUACUUACACGGUGGAAUGCAGACUGCUAGUGUUUCGUCCAUUCGUUGGGGAAAUAAUUGAUGCGAAGCUCAAAGAAUUUGAUAAAGAUGGUUUGCGCUUAUCUAUGGGAUUUUUUGAUGACAUUUACAUUCCCUUUCAUCUCUUGCCAUACCCAUCCCGAUUUGAGCCUGACUCAGAAAAUGGGAACCGGUUUAGAUGGAUAUGGGAGUAUCAGGCAAAUGGGGAGAACGAAGAUGAUCAGACAUCGGCAACAGUUUAUCCUAUUGAUGAGAUUGGCGAGACCAUCAGAUUCAGAGUUCAGAGUGUAAAUUAUCCUUCAAUCCCACUGGAGCAACCAAAAGAUUCUAAGCCAUUUGCUCCUAUGGUGAUUACUGGAUCUCUUGAUAAUGAUGGUUUGGGUCCACUUUCAUGGUGGGAAUGAUAAGUCUAUGUGUUUGGGUAGGUAAGGCUGAUCUGUCAAUAACACGAUUGAUUGUGUCAGCCCACAGAAAGGGCACCUUCUGGUAUAAUGACAUGGAGCGGUAAUUUGCAGAUAAUUUUGUCUUGUCAGUAUUGACUGUGCGGAGAACCUAUAGGAUGAAUGCCACAGUUUAUUGCGGAGGCCAGCAUUGCACUUGGUCUUGUAUAUUUGGUGUCCUGGGUUGAAUGCCAUUGCCUUCAUUGAUAUUUCUUCUCCCAUAUCAUCGUUUCACCUCAUGUUAAGUUCAAAAUAUAAGCUAAGUUCUGAUCAAAGUAGUCCAAUUCUGCAGCUAUUCGUUGUCAUUGUAACCUCUUUCUCGUUAAUUUUGUCUGGGUGCCAAAGAGCCCUUUUUUCAUGUCUGCAUAGUCGAGGUGUGCGUGGAGUUUUUCACUUAGCUUUCCUCUUCCGAUGGUGGAAUUUCCUGUAUCAGCUGAACUGAAGCAUGCGCAUGAUUUUGUCGAUUGCUUUGGCUGGGUUCUUUUGGUCAUGAUCGUAUAGUUGUCCCUCGGUUUUUGUCCUACGGAUUGUAAAUUUUCUAUUGCAUGAAUGAACAGUGCCGGAUCAGGUUAAAUUUCU